rnacentral:rRNA from 1 species
UGAGGAAUUUUCCACAAUGGGCGAAAGCCUGAUGGAGCGACGCCGCGUGAAGGAUGAAGCUUUUCGGAGUGUAAACUUCUUUUAUGUGGGAAGAUUAUGACGGUACCACAUGAAUAAGGACCGGCUAACUACGUGCCAGCAGCCGCGGUAAUACGUAGGGUCCGAGCGUUAUCCGGAAUUACUGGGCGUAAAGAGUUCGUAGGCGGAUUUUUAAGUCAGGUGUUAAAUAUGCAGGCUCAACUUGCAUGC